UACCAGCACCCCGAGUGGUCGGGACGAUUAUUGGGCCUAAAGCAUCGGUAGCCGGUUCUACAAGUCUUCCGUUAAAUCCACCUGCUUAACAGAUGGGCUGCGGAGGAUACUAUAGAGCUAGGAGGCGGGAGAGGCAAGCGGUACUUAGUGGGUAGGGGUAAAAUCCGUUGAUCCAUUGAAGACCACCAGUGGCGAAGGCGGCUUGCCAGAACGCACUCGACGGUGAGGGAUGAAAGCUGGGGGAGCAAACCGG
rnacentral:rRNA from 1 species